GUAGGUGAACCUGCGGAAGGAUCAUUAUUGAAAUUACCGGCGAGGGUUGUAGCUGGCCUUUCGGGGCAUGUGCACGCCCGAGCCUUUAAUCCAACAUACACCUGUGAACCCAAUGUAAGGGCCCGUAAAAAGGCCCCUACGUCUUUAUCACCAACUCUGUAUUCAUAGAAUGUAAUCCAUAUCUUCGCCUUAACAAGCGUUGGUAAAACUUAUACAACUUUCAACAACGGAUCUCUUGGCUCUC
rnacentral:misc_RNA from 1 species